UACGUAUGGAGCGAGCGUUGUCCGGAAUUAUUGGGCGUAAAGGGUACGCAGGCGGUUUAAUAAGUCGAAUGUUAAAGAUCGGGGCUCAACCCCGUAAAGCAUUGGAAACUGAUAAACUUGAGUAGUGGAGAGGAAAGUGGAAUUCCUAGUGUAGUGGUGAAAUACGUAGAUAUUAGGAGGAAUACCAGUAGCGAAGGCGACUUUCUGGACACAAACUGACGCUGAGGUACGAAAGCGUGGGGAGCAAACAGG
rnacentral:rRNA from 3 species